CUCUUAUUUCUAGGUGGAAGCUCUAAAAGUCGGGCGUAUCUCUCAGCUGCUCUCCCAUGCGGUACUUGUAACUCCAUUCUUAGGAGAAAGGGUGGAGAGAGUGGGGACUAUUUGGGUGUCGGAGGUGCUAGAUUCUCGUGAAAGCUGCAAUUAGAGCCAAAAAAUAUUAAAGCCCCAUGGACCCAAGUGGGUCACCCAGGCCCA
rnacentral:lncRNA from 1 species